rnacentral:piRNA from 1 species
UAGAUGUUGCCCUGGAUCUGGGU